GAAGCCCCGGGACCCUUUUGGGUCCGAUUUCAAACUUGCAUUUUGACGUGUAAACACCUCGAAGCU
rnacentral:tRNA from 1 species